AGGCUCACCCUCGAGCGCGGGCUAAUUUAGGGACAGUAGUAGCAACGCUGAGUCCCCAACACGCCGUAAGCAUUGGAAUCAAUUGGAAUCGAAGCUAUUCUUACAAUAUUAUGGACGAGGUCUCUGUCGGACAGACGGCUGUCAGACGCUGCAGAGACCCUUCCCGGGCAUUUGCAAAGGUGUUGGUAUUUUAUUAUAUUUAUUUACUCCGGCUGAAACUGUGAAACAAGUCACAGUUAGACAAUAAUAACAGCACACAAAGGAGCUGCAAGG
rnacentral:sRNA from 1 species